rnacentral:rRNA from 1 species
GACGAACGCUGGCGGCGCGCCUAACACAUGCAAGUCGAACGAGCGAGAGAGAGCUUGCUUUCUUGAGCGAGUGGCGAACGGGUGAGUAACGCGUGAGGAACCUGCCUCAAAGAGGGGGACAACAGUUGGAAACGACUGCUAAUACCGCAUAAGCCCACGGUGCCGCCUGGCACAGAUGGAAAAGGAGCAAUCCGCUUUGAGAUGGCCUCGCGUCCGAUUAGCUAGUUGGUGAGGUAACGGCCCACCAAGGCGACGAUCGGUAGCCGGACUGAGGGGUUGACCGGCCACAUUGGGACUGAGACACGGCCCAGACUCCUACGGGAGGCAGCAGUGGGGAAUAUUGCACAAUGGGGGAAACCCUGAUGCAGCGACGCCGCGUGGAGGAAGAAGGUCUUCGGAUUGUAAACUCCUGUUGUUGGGGAAGAUAAUGACGGUACCCAACAAGGAAGUGACGGCUAACUACGUG